AGCAGCGUGGCUCAGUGGAAAAAGCACGGGCUUUGGAGUCAGGGCUCUUGGGUUCGAAUCCCAGCUCUGCCA
rnacentral:tRNA from 1 species